AUUAGAUCACAUGCCGUCAUAUGCUCAUAAGUCUCAUCAGAUAAUAGAAGCUUCCUCAUAAUAAUAAUUGAGAGAUUUGUCAACAAGUAAAUUUUUAAACCUAUUCGUCACACUACAAAUUCCAAUUGUCAUUUCAAUAUUUUUCAUUACAUUACAUUCACCACGAAAUGGUUUAUGGUAGAUCUUUCAAAUUUCGCAGAUUCAUCCUGAUGACGUCACUGAUGUCGUCACCGCUCCCCUUCACAAAGACUUCACACGUGAGAAGAUCAAUUGCUGAAUCUAUUAAGAUAAUGCAAGAUAAUUAUAAAGAAGAAAACUUAAUUCGAAUCGAUUUUCUGU